GGAAUAUAGCUCAGUUGGUAGAGUGCUUGUCUCACAAGCCCAAGACCCUGGGCUCAAUCCCCAGCACCA
rnacentral:tRNA from 1 species